GAUGAACGCUGGCGGCGUGCCUAAUACAUGCAAGUCGAGCGAACAGACGAGGAUCUUGCUCCUCUGACGUUAGCGGCGGACGGGUGAGUAACACGUGGAUAACCUACCUAUAAGACUGGGAUAACUUCGGGAAACCGGAGCUAAUACCGGAUAAUAUAUUGAACCGCAUGGUUCAAUAGUGAAAGACUGUUUUGCUGUCACUUAUAGAUGGAUCCGCGCCGCAUUAGCUAGUUGGUAAGGUAACGGCUUACCAAGGCAACGAUGCGUAGCCGACCUGAGAGGGUGAUAGGCCACACUGGAACUGAGACACGGUCCAGACUCCUACGGGAGGCAGCAGUAGGGAAUCUUCCGCAAUGGGCGAAAGCCUGACGGAGCAACGCCGGGUGAGUGAUGAAGGUAUUCGGAUCGUAAAACUCUGUUAUUAGGGAAGAACAAAUGUGUAAGUAACUAUGCACGUAUUGACGGUACCUAAUCAGAAAGCAACGGCUAACUACGUG
rnacentral:rRNA from 1 species